ensembl:lncRNA
GAAAACCAUGCAAAAAGAACUGAAAUAUAAUGAAAGAUAUCUUUGAAAGAUAAUGUUCUGUCAUUGCAUUUAACUGUCGAAGGCUGUCAUCAUAGUCAUUUCGACAUGCUAUUUCAAAGUCCAUCUAUAGGUGGGGCUCUUGGUUCAUUUCAAACAUACAGUCUGAUUGAUUAUGUCAGUCAGAAUGUCCGAGGAAGUCUUGCCAAUGUUGGACCUCUGGACGACAGCAGAGGGUCAAAGCAGAUAGAUACCAGAACCAGAGGUCUAUAGGAUCUCUAGAUGAUGAUGUGUGUGCAUGCGGGUGUGUAUGUAUGUAUGUAUGUCCGUAUGAGUCUGUGAGUACGUGUGUGAGGGGGUUUCUGGUGGCUCACUAAUUAGUCAGGCUCAGCACAGAGCCCAUCUUCUCUGGAGACCUCAUUAGCAUGACUGUGACCUUGUGGCGGAAAUCUCCUGUGCUCCGAUCCUCCCCGGAGACAAAGAAUUUACUAGCACCGUUAAUCACUUCUUCAUCUUCGUCAGCACGCUACACCUACUGCACGUCACCACGGCGCGCAUGCACCUGCGUCAGCCUUACAUGUCCAUCUGCUUUUCAUCUCUCAUCUGCGUCAUCAACUUUAAACCUACAGUCUAUACAUUUGAAUGUAACGGUUUAGUGAGCAGCUUCAUAAUCUCCACUUGUGAGGGGAGUGAGAGGGACAGGGACAGAUUCAGAGGCAGGGUAGGGGCCUGGAGAAGAAGGUAAAGGUAGUGUUAAGUGACACAAAGCAAGGGUGAACGCAGCAGAGAAUGAUAGAGGAUGGUUUACUAAUCAAAAUGAAUGUGAAGUAAACCCUAGCCCAACCUCCAGCUGAAUCCCCAGAGAAAUCGGACCGUAUGAUAGAAAAUCCCAGGAGAACCCAUCCACCACCCCAACACACACACACACACACAGAAUAAAGCCAUCCCUCAAAAAACUCAAAAUAAUAUGUCCUGAUAGAAAAAAGAUAUUAUCACCAAAUGUAAGUCUUGUCUGCAGCUACAAUCCUAUCUAGCUUUGUCCUGCAGUGUCGGGUUAAAAGGUCAUGUCACUGUCAGUGUUGUCCCACUGCAUCAAGAUAACCCUUGAACCCCCUGAUAUCACUCUGACAUCUGACCCGGAUCUUGCAGGUCUGCAAGACGAUUAUCGGCUAAACUCACCCAAAACAAGAGAAUUGAAUCGUGAGAUGUUUAAGUUCUAUAAUGACGUUAUGGACUUGGUUGUGAUCUAAACCCGGACCAGUCUACAAAACCUCCUGGCAUUAACACUUCAAACUGUGUACAUGUACAGUAAAUGUCCCUUCGACAAACGUGUGACCAUUAGGUGUCCUGACGCCAGCGGUGUGCGGGUUACUCUGUGCUCCCACAUGGACAACAACGCACCAUGGACUCAUCUUAGGUAUCACCGUAUGUAAGCUUUCUCCAAAACCAUGAGAGACAAAACAAAAUCCAAGGAAUUAAAAUAGAGAUUUCUUUUUUUAAUACAGUAAAUGCAGGCAUGUACACAACUGUGCUGUGAUUGGCUAAGUUUUUUUUUCCCUAUUACGCAAUGUUGUUUUAGGCCCAAUUGAGUGAAUCUAGAUCACAACGACCCAUUACAUACUUUUACGGCCCUGAAAAUGGAUCGCAUGGCCCAAUCUGAAGACAUCUGGUUUCUAGUGUUGUGUUCCUGUCCUGUCCCACUUCCUCCUGUGUGCCUGCCAGGUAGAAAUGCUUUUUCUUCCUAUUUCUAUCUCUCGUUUACCAUGGUUAUGUUCUAUAUCCUGUGGAUCUAUGCAGAAGCCCAUUCCUUUUUUUUUUUUUCUUUUUUUUUUGGUUGUAAAUAUCUUUCCUAGAAUGCUGAACGAUGUAUAACGUGUCUUUGCUUCCGAGGUAUCGUGCAUUUUGAGUUGAUGUCCUGCCUGUCCAUGGCUCGAUUCAGUCAAACCCACAUUGCAGGUGUUUCCGCCACAGUUCUUUCUUUCAGUGUUUUAAAUGAAUUCACAUGCUUGUCUUGGGUACUGUGUGUCAACAUAAAACUACCCAAGGUGACCUUCACAUACAGGUAUGUUUUCGCUUUUUUGAAUCAGUGUGUGGGCACAGGGAAGAUGUUGUAAAUAAAGACACUGCGUGCACGUUGCUGUGGCGGGUUUGAAUGAAUUUGGGCCAUGCUCUUUCUUUCUUUUUUUUUCUUUUUUUUUU